UACAGAGGGUGCGAGCGUUGUUCGGAAUUAUUGGGCGUAAAGGGCGCGUAGGCGGUGCGGUAAGUCACCUGUGAAAUCUCCUGGCUCAACUGGGAGCUUGCAGGCGAAACUGCCGUGCUGGAGUGUAGGAGAGGUGCGUGGAAUUCCUGGUGUAGCGGUGAAAUGCGUAGAUAUCAGGAGGAACACCUGUGGCGAAAGCGGCGCACUGGACCACAACUGACGCUGAGGCGCGAAAGCUAGGGGAGCAAACAGG
rnacentral:rRNA from 1 species